ACUCCUACGGGAGGCAGCAGUGGGGAAUUUUGGACAAUGGGCGAAAGCCUGAUCCAGCAAUGCCGCGUGAGUGAAGAAGGCCUUCGGGUUGUAAAGCUCUUUUGUCAGGGAAGAAACGGUGAGAGCUAAUAUCUUUUGCUAAUGACGGUACCUGAAGAAUAAGCACCGGCUAACUACGUGCCAGCAGCCGCGGUAAUACGUAGGGUGCAAGCGUUAAUCGGAAUUACUGGGCGUAAAGCGUGCGCAGGCGGUUUUGUAAGUCUGAUGUGAAAUCCCCGGGCUCAACCUGGGAAUUGCAUUGGAGACUGCAAGGCUAGAAUCUGGCAGAGGGGGGUAGAAUUCCACGUGUAGCAGUGAAAUGCGUAGAUAUGUGGAGGAACACCGAUGGCGAAGGCAGCCCCCUGGGUCAAGAUUGACGCUCAUGCACGAAAGCGUGGGGAGCAAACAGGAUUAGAAACCCUGGUAGUCCCAUGA
rnacentral:rRNA from 1 species